rnacentral:tRNA from 1 species
GGCUUCGUAGCUCAGCUAGUAGAGCGCUUGCCGCGUAAAGGCAUUGUGUUUCGGUCGCUGGUUCGAAUCCAGCCGAAGCCC